rnacentral:rRNA from 1 species
AUUGAACGCUGGCGGCAGGCUUAACACAUGCAAGUCGAGCGGAGUGAUGGUGCUUGCACUAUCACUUAGCGGCGGACGGGUGAGUAAUGCUUAGGAAUCUGCCUAUUAGUGGGGGACAACAUCUCGAAAGGGAUGCUAAUACCGCAUACGUCCUACGGGAGAAAGCAGGGGAUCACUUGUGACCUUGCGCUAAUAGAUGAGCAUAAGUCGGAUUAGCUAGUUGGUGGGGUAAAGGCCUACCAAGGCGACGAUCUGUAGCGGGUCUGAGAGGAUGAUCCGCCACACUGGGACUGAGACACGGCCCAGACUCCUACGGGAGGCAGCAGUGGGGAAUAUUGGACAAUGGGGGGAACCCUGAUCCAGCCAUGCCGCGUGUGUGAAGAAGGCCUUAUGGUUGUAAAGCACUUUAAGCGAGGAGGAGGCUCUUUUGGUUAAUACCCAAGAUGAGUGGACGUUACUCACAGAAUAAGCACCGGCUAACUCUGUGCCAGCCGCCGCGGUAA